rnacentral:rRNA from 1 species
UCGGGAAUUUUGGGCAAUGGGCGAAAGCCUGACCCAGCAACGCCGCGUGAAGGAUGAAGUAUUUCGGUAUGUAAACUUCGUAAGAAUAGGAAGAAUAAAUGACGGUACUAUUUGUAAGGUCCGGCUAACUACGUGCCAGCAGCCGCGGUAAUACGUAGGGACCAAGCGUUGUUCGGAUUUACUGGGCGUAAAGGGCGCGUAGGCGGUGUGUCAAGUCAGUUGUGAAAUCUCCGAGCUUAACUCGGAACGGUCAACUGAUACUGUCACACUAGAGUACAGAAGGGGCAAUCGGAAUUCUUGGUGUAGCGGUGAAAUGCGUAGAUAUCAAGAGGAACACCUGAGGCGAAGGCGGGUUGCUGGGCUGAUACUGACGCUGAAGCGCGAAAGCUAGGGUAGCAAACGGGAUUAGAUACCCCAGUAGUCCCUGAGCGGGCUGGCAAGGCGCAU